GCUCCGGUUUCCGGGCCGGCGGGUGGCCGCUCACCAUGCCCGGCAAGCACCAGCAUUUCCAGGAACCUGAGGUCGGCUGCUGCGGGAAAUACUUCCUGUUUGGCUUCAACAUUGUCUUCUGGUGCUGGGAGCCCUGUUCCUGGCUAUCGGCCUCUGGGCCUGGGGUGAGAAGGCGUUCUCUCGAACAUCUCAGCGCUGACAGAUCUGGGAGGCCUUGACCCCGUGUGGCUGUUUGUGGUAGUUGGAGGCGUCAUGUCGGUGCUGGGCUUUGCUGGCUGCAUUGGGGCCCUCCGGGAGAACACCUUCCUGCUCAAGUUUUCUCCGUGUUCCUCGGUCUCAUCUUCUUCCUGGAGCUGGCAAC
rnacentral:lncRNA from 1 species